rnacentral:rRNA from 1 species
GACGAACGCUGGCGGCGUGCUUAACACAUGCAAGUCGAACGAUGAAGCCGGAGCUUGCUCUGGUGAAUUAGUGGCGAACGGGUGAGUAACACGUGAGUAACCUGCCCUUGACUCUGGGAUAACUGCUAGAAAUGGUAGCUAAUACCGGAUACGACCCUCGGAGGCAUCUUCAGGUGGUGGAAAGAAUUUCGGUCAAGGAUGGACUCGCGGCCUAUCAGCUAGUUGGUGAGGUAAUGGCUCACCAAGGCGACGACGGGUAGCCGGCCUGAGAGGGUGACCGGCCACACUGGGACUGAGACACGGCCCAGACUCCUACGGGAGGCAGCAGUGGGGAAUAUUGCACAAUGGGCGCAAGCCUGAUGCAGCAACGCCGCGUGAGGGAUGACGGCCUUCGAGUUGUAAACCUCUUUUAGUAGGGAAGAAGCGAAAGUGACGGUACCUGCAGAAAAAGCACCGGCUAACUACGUGCCAGCCGCCGCCGUAA